GUGGGGAAUAUUGCACAAUGGGCGAAAGCCUGAUGCAGCAACGCCGCGUGAGGGACGACGGCCUUCGGGUUGUAAACCUCUUUUAGCAGGGAAGAAGCGAAAGUGACGGUACCUGCAGAAAAAGCACCGGCUAACUACGUGCCAGCAGCCGCGGUAAUACGUAGGGUGCAAGCGUUAUCCGGAAUUAUUGGGCGUAAAGAGCUCGUAGGCGGUCUGUCGCGUCUGCUGUGAAAACUGGAGGCUCAACCUCCAGCCUGCAGUGGGUACGGGCAGACUAGAGUGCGGUAGGGGAGAUUGGAAUUCCUGGUGUAGCGGUGGAAUGCGCAGAUAUCAGGAGGAACACCGAUGGCGAAGGCAGAUCUCUGGGCCGUAACUGACGCUGAGGAGCGAAAGCGUGGGGAGCGAACAGGAUUAGAUACCCUUGUAGUCC
rnacentral:rRNA from 1 species